rnacentral:rRNA from 1 species
AUUGAACGCUGGCGGCAUGCCUUACACAUGCAAGUCGAACGGCAGCACGGGUGCUUGCACCUGGUGGCGAGUGGCGAACGGGUGAGUAAUACAUCGGAACAUGUCCUGUAGUGGGGGGUAGCCCGGCGAAAGCCGGAUUAAUACCGCAUACGAUCUACGGAUGAAAGCGGGGGACCUUCGGGCCUCGCGCUAUCGGGUUGGCCGAUGGCUGAUUAGCUAGUUGGUGGGGUAAAGGCCUACCAAGGCGACGAUCAGUAGCUGGUCUGAGAGGACGACCAGCCACACUGGGACUGAGACACGGCCCAGACUCCUACGGGAGGCAGCAGUGGGGAAUUUUGGACAAUGGGCGAAAGCCUGAUCCAGCAAUGCCGCGUGUGUGAAGAAGGCCUUCGGGUUGUAAAGCACUUUUGUCCGGAAAGAAAUCCUUGGCCCUAAUACGGUCGGGGGAUGACGGUACCGGAAGAAUAAGCACCGGCUAACUACGUG